UAGGGAAUCUUCGGCAAUGGGGGGAACCCUGACCGAGCAACGCCGCGUGAGUGAAGAAGGUUUUCGGAUCGUAAAGCUCUGUUGUUAAGGAAGAACGAGUGUGAGAAUGGAAAGUUCAUACUGUGACGGUACUUAACCAGAAAGGGACGGCUAACUACGUGCCAGCAGCCGCGGUAAUACGUAGGUCCCGAGCGUUGUCCGGAUUUAUUGGGCGUAAAGCGAGCGCAGGCGGUUAGAUAAGUCUGAAGUUAAAGGCAGUGGCUCAACCAUUGUAGGCUUUGGAAACUGGUUAACGUGAGUGCAGAAGGGGAGAGUGGAAUUCCAUGUGUAGCGGGGAAAUGCGUAGAUAUAUGGAGGAACACCGGUGGCGAAAGCGGCUGUCUGGUCUGUAACUGACGCGGAGGAUCGAAAGCGUGGGGAGCGAACAGG
rnacentral:rRNA from 1 species